UGAGGAACAUGACCUUCGGCGGGGGAUAGCCGGCCCAACGGCCGGGUAAUACCGCGUACGACCACAUGGGGACAUCCCUGAGUGGUGAAAGCAGCAAUGCGCCGAUGGAGUGCCUCGCGGCCUAUCAGCUAGUUGGUGAGGUAACGGCUCACCAAGGCAACGACGGGUANCUGGUCUGAGAGGAUGGCCAGCCACAUUGGGACUGAGACACGGCCCAGACCUNUACGGGAG
rnacentral:rRNA from 1 species